GCCGAUGUGGUGAAAUUGGUAGACACGCACGCUUGAGGGGCGUGUAGCGCAAGCUGUGCCGGUUCGACUCCGGCCAUCGGCACCA
rnacentral:tRNA from 1 species